rnacentral:misc_RNA from 1 species
AGGAUAUUUUUCGUCGUCGGUCGUCGUGUUUGUAUUUAUUCGUGUCUUCGCGUAUGGUAUAGCCGAUACUUCAACAUUUUUAUAUUUUGGAUAACUAUUCCGCUCUUUUAAACAGCUCUUUAGGAAAACCAAGCAAAAAAUAUUCAUACAUGUGUCCGAAUGGCUCUGAUUAAAGUAUCCCUUGCAGUUGUGUCAGUUCUUAUUCUCGGAGCUGACAGCAAUAGUCUUCAAAAUUUCAAACAUUGGAAGGAUAAUGGGAAUAGUUUAGAACGUUUAACAAGUUCUAUAGAGGAUACAGAUCACUCCAAACUCCACCCCAUAAAAAGACGAAUAUAUGAUAGUGUGGGUGGCAGCGUGGGCGUUGGCCGUGGUGGUGGUGUGCCGUCUGUUCCGUGGCGCGGCCGAUGGUUUCCUGAGGCGCCUGCGGCUGCGGCGUCGCCUGCGGCACAAGGCACCGCCAGCCGCACCUCUGCCACUACAAGUGCAAGUACCAGCCGUAGCCAUCUGGAUACAAUGAGCCAAGUCGAUGCUGCCUGCGACGACGGCAAGACAAAUCUAACUUUGGACUGGUCUGGCUCCGUUGAGAACUACACCUGCUUCUUGGACAUUUUCCCUCCUGAUCCUGAAACUGCAGCUUUUAUAAUGCGUGAUUAUAUCCCCACUCAAUACCAUGCUAUGCAUGAAUGUAUGAACAAGCCCAUACACUACACCUCCAAUCUACCGACAUUUGGUACGCACAGACCUGUCUGGGCAAGAUAUGGUGAAUAUAAAUUUCUUCCACGUCAAAGGUGGCUGCACAACUUAGAGCAUGGAGCCAUUGUAAUGCUGUACCAUCCUUGUGCCCAUCCGUUGCUUGUGAGGGAACUAAAAGAUAUUGUCAAGUCGUGUCUGUACAGGCAUGUUAUCACACCGUACAAUCUCCUAUCACCGAUAAGGCCGCUAGCACUGGUGGCCUGGGGCUGGGCCAUGACCAUGUCAAUGGUAGAUGAGGAGAGUGUGCGUCAAUUCAUCACUGCGCAUGCGCUGCGCGGCGCCGAAAACAUCACCACCGACGGUCAGUACGACCAUUUGCUACAAGAUGCCGCUACCAUCGUCACCAGCGAACAUGACUCCACUGUCUGUCCUCCUCAGAUGUACUUUUAGAAUUGCAGUGACUAUAAAUGAUUAUAAUAGUUUCUGUAUCUUGAAGGCGCCACUCACUCUUCUAAUCAGAAACUGAAUAAUAUUCAUCGAAGACUUCAAAAUCUUGAAUGUGAAGAUAUUCUAAAGAAAAUUUCCCUGAAGUGUUUCUAUGGUAAAUAUAAAAAUAAAUGUGUUUUUUUUUUUAAUAAAGUAGAUUUGACUACUAACAGUAGUUUUGAAGGUUGAAGGUUAUCCAUCAUAGGCUGGAUAAUAGUGUAUUUAUUAACGAUAUUUUUUUUAAUCCUUAGAACAGUAUUUUCAUUAUUUGUUCAUUAAUCCUAACCAUAUUCUUCCAAUAUUUCAUCAAUCAUUUAUUAUAUUACGCUAAUUAUUAAUUUUAACACAUUAUUUUCAUUCAAUGUUCUCCUAUCAUGAAUUAGUUCUCCUACUUUUAAGGAAUGUGUAGUUUCAUGUUAAAAUAAAAACAUGUAUCAUCCUCAGUUUCUCACACAUCUAUGUUACCUCUCUUUAUUACUCUAUUUCUAGUUAAAAUAAAUUUUUGAAAAUAAUUUACGAACACCUAAAUUUGAAAAUGCAUUUAUUGUUUUUUAAAGUACUGUAGUAAAAGUGAGUGAUAUUUUAUUUCAAGAAUAAUAUAAAUAUACUGAUUUCUCAAGCAUUUGAAAGUCACAAAGGUUGGCUCAAAACAUUAAAUAAGCAGAUUUUAUAAAUUUACCCCAAUUUACAAUUGAUCGUUUUUUAUGUGUUUUGUAUUUUGUUCUAUUAUUAGAAUAUUAUUGAAUUAUUAAUUAUUUAAAAUAUUUAUAUCUUUGACAUUUUUACUCCUACAUUCUCAUAAAUGUUUAUGUUACACUGUUAUUUGUUUGUUAUUUCUAUUGUAGUUAGUCUUUAAAUAUUUUACGUUACUCGAAAUUAUGUUAUAAAUUGUUUAACAGAUUUAUAAGAUUUAAAAAAAUUUCUAAGGUCAAAUUCUUCAACUGAGACUGUUUCUUUCAUCGAUCGACCUGGCCUUUUUGCUUCACUUUAUAAUAUGGUAUAUUUUUCUUUUGAAGAUAUUUUUCUUUGCUGUCCUUGUUGAUUUUUUCAAGUUUUACAUGAUGAAAAAUGAAUAGAAUGGAAUAUUGCUUAUUAAAAACUGUUGGAGAUUCCAUUUAAAAAACCCAUUUCAUAAAUUUAUAGAGAAUAAAUUUAAAUAUUAUACCGUAUCAAUAUUGAUAAAUAAACCAAUCCUCAUAAUGUUUUUCCACAUAAUAGAUUUAUUAGAAAUUAAGCAUUUCAUUUUCACAAUAAUCCUUGUUUUUUAAUACUUCCUUGUGAAUUGUACCUGAUUCAUCCGCUAUUUCAUUGAAAUUCCAUCCUGUUUACACCGUUAACGUAUUUUAAUCAAAUAAAUGUGUUAUUUA